rnacentral:lncRNA from 1 species
AUGUUCUCCUUGUCCAUGUACCUCGCUUUUGUUUCAGUGACCCUUCGCCUCCCACACAUACACAAGUUUGAAUUUCCUGUUGGCUCUGAGAUAUAUUUCAAGCACUGUAUCUGUCACUGAAAUCUACAAAGUGUGCUUCAGCUAUAAAUCUCCAUCCUUGAAUGUACACAUACAAUUAUCGUGGUGAGAUCUGCCUUCCAUAAAAGUGACAAUUGUCAUUCCUGGUCUUGCUUUAGUUUGUAUAAAUAUAAUGUUUAUGUUGAAAAAAAUCACCUGUCAUUUAAUAGGAAACAUGGAAAUUUAUGCUACGAUUAUAUUAAAUGCUAUGCUUUUAAAUGUCUUUUUAUAGUCAUAGAGAAAUUAAUUUAACCUAAAUUGUAUCUCGACUAUUGUAUAAGUCCAAAGGUCUUAAUGACACAAGCUGCU